GAAACGACUGCUAAGACUGGAUAGGAGACAAGAGGGCAUCUUCUUGUUUUUAAAAGACCUAGCAAUAGGUAUGCUUAGGGAGGAGCUUGCGUCACAUUAGUUAGUUGGUGGGGUAAAGGCCUACCAAGACUAUGAUGUGUAGCCGGGCUGAGAGGUUGAACGGCCACAUUGGGACUGAGACACGGCCCAAACUCCUACGGGAGGCAGCAGUAGGGAAUUUUCGGCAAUGGAGGAAACUCUGACCGAGCAACGCCGCGUGAACGAUGAAGUAUUUCGGUACGUAAAGUUCUUUUAUUAGGGAAGAAUAAAUGAUGGAAAAAUCAUUCUGACGGUACCUAAUGAAUAAGCCCCGGCUAACUAUGUGCCAGCAGCCGCGGUAAUACAUAGGGGGCAAGCGUUAUCCGGAAUUAUUGGGCGUAAAGGGUGCGUAGGCGGUUAAAUAAGUUUAUGGUCUAAGUGCAAUGCUCAACAUUGUGAUGCUAUAAAAACUGUUUAGCUAGAGUAAGAUAGAGGCAAGUGGAAUUCCAUGUGUAGUGGUAAAAUGCGUAAAUAUAUGGAGGAACACCAGUAGCGAAGGCGGCUUGCUGGGUCUUUACUGACGCUGAGGCACGAAAGCGUGGGGAGCAAACAGGAUUAGAUACCCUGGUAGUCCACGCCGUAAACGAUGAGUACUAAACGUUGGGUAAAACCAGUGUUGAAGUUAACACAUUAAGUACUCCGCCUGAGUAGUACGUACGCAAGUAUGAAACUUAAAGGAAUUGACGGGACUCCGCACAAGCGGUGGAUCAUGUUGUUUAAUUCGAAGGUACCCGAAAAACCUCACCAGGUCUUGACAUGCUUCUGCAAAGCUGUAGAAACACAGUGGAGGUUAUCAGUUGCACAGGUGGUGCAUGGUUGUCGUCAGCUCGUGUCGUGAGAUGUUGGGUUAAGUCCCGCAACGAGCGCAACCCUUAUUGUUAGUUACCAGCACGUAAUGGUGGGGACUUUAGCAAGACUGCCAGUGAUAAAUUGGAGGAAGGUGGGGACGACGUCAAAUCAUCAUGCCCCUUAUGACCUGGGCUACAAACGUGAUACAAUGGCUGUUACAAAGGGUAGCUGAAGCGCAAGUUUUUGGCGAAUCUCAAAAAAACAGUCUCAGUUCGGAUUGAAGUCUGCAACUCGACUUCAUGAAGUUGGAAUCGCUAGUAAUCGCGAAUCAGCAUGUCGCGGUGAAUACGUUCUCGGGGUUUGUACACACCGCCCGUCA
rnacentral:rRNA from 4 species